AAGGAUCAUUACAAAAAAGGAGGGAAGAUGAGCGAGUUUUUCUUGUUUGUCUUUCUCUUGCUCGACGCGGGUUUUUGCUUCUUUUCUUUCGGGAAAUCGAGUAAAAACGCGUAUAGAGAUAUCUUUUGUGCACCGUAAAAACAAACAAUUCGCGUUUAAUACCUUUUGUCUGAUGUAAAAUUUUACAGUUUUCGUGGAAUUACUUUUGUGAUUUUGCAAGAAAAGAAAACAUAAAAAUAACUUUUAACAACGGAUCUCUUGGCUCUC
rnacentral:misc_RNA from 1 species